GAUGAACGCUGGCGGCGUGCUUAACACAUGCAAGUCGAGCGAGUGAGUUCUUCGGAACGAUCUAGCGGCGGACGGGUGAGUAACACGUGGGCAACCUGCCUCAUAGAGGGGAAUAGCCUCCCGAAAGGGAGAUUAAUACCGCAUAAAAUUAUCGAGUGGCAUCACAUGAUAAUCGAAGGAGUAAUCCGCUACAAGAUGGGCCCGCGGCGCAUUAGCUAGUUGGUGAGGUAACGGCUCACCAAGGCGACGAUGCGUAACCGACCUGAGAGGGUGAUCGGCCACAUUGGGACUGAGACACGGCCCAGACUCCUACGGGAGGCAGCAGUGGGGAAUAUUGCACAAUGGGGGAAACCCUGAUGCAGCAACGCCGCGUGAGUGAUGACGGCCUUCGGGUUGUAAAGCUCUGUCCUUGGGGACGAUAAUGACGGUACCCAAGGAGGAAGUCACGGCUAACUACGUGCCAGCAGCCGCAGUAA
rnacentral:rRNA from 1 species